UGCUAGAUGAACCAAAGCAAUGUCAUUUGCU
rnacentral:piRNA from 1 species